rnacentral:rRNA from 1 species
UAGGGAAUCUUCGGCAAUGGACGAAAGUCUGACCGAGCAACGCCGCGUGAGUGAAGAAGGUUUUCGGAUCGUAAAACUCUGUUGUUAGAGAAGAACAAGGACGUUAGUAACUGAACGUCCCCUGACGGUAUCUAACCAGAAAGCCACGGCUAACUACGUGCCAGCAGCCGCGGUAAUACGUAGGUGGCAAGCGUUGUCCGGAUUUAUUGGGCGUAAAGCGAGCGCAGGCGGUUUCUUAAGUCUGAUGUGAAAGCCCCCGGCUCAACCGGGGAGGGUCAUUGGAAACUGAGAGACUUGAGUGCAGAAGAGGGGAGUGGAAUUCCAUGUGUAGCGGUGAAAUGCGUAGAUAUAUGGCGGAACACCAGUGGCGAAGGCGGCUCUCUGGUCUGUAACUGACGCUGAGGCUCGAAAGCGUGGGGAGCAAACAGG